AAAUUUAGUCUCCUGGCUCAACAUCUAUCCGAGGGUGUGUUAGCCUUGACUGAUGCAUCAGAUACCGAGGUUGAUGCAGACACAUUUGAUGAGCUGAUAAAGUCAGGGGUCCGAAACUUCAAGGUUGGAUACUGCAAGUACCCAGUAACGGAGUUGGACAUUGAAUUGGUGGAAUACAACUCGCAGUCCUCCGUAUUGUCAGACUCCACAGCAUCACCAGUUUCAUUGCCAGGACCCCGGCCCCCGCAUCACCAGCUUCUACAAGUUCAGGUUCGACAAUCAUCCUCCCAUCCACUAAAAACCGGCAGAGAGGCCUGGUAGAGCUGGAACGUAAUGAAGCAAGAAGGAAAGUUGAUACUAUUCUGAGGUCCAACCCGAAAGGUGAAGAAAUCUUCAAAGAAUAUGACAAAACUAAGACGCUGUCAGACACAACACGCAGACAUAUGAUCAACAUUCUGGUUGCAGAAAUGACAGAUUCACAUGGGAGGAUUCCCCCCAGAAGUGUCAGGACUAGUUAUGCACUCGGAAUUGUGAACCUUUUCCCAUAUCUACAAGAUCCGUACUCAGAGCAUGGAUAUGAACAUUACUAUGACCCUGAGGCGAAUACUGGCUAUCUUGCUUGGAGACUCAAGACAGUCCAACGCAACACGCACGAUGGCCUCCGUGGGCAUUCCAGGCCCAAUCCCCAGGGCAGGCCAACAACCCAACGAGAAUCUUUGUUGAUUGCUGAACAGCUCAAGGAUGAGGAGUGCAGAGAGGCCGUGUCUGUAAUAAGACACUCCACAGAUGAAUCCGUGGUCAAAGAGAAGAUGAGAGCCACCUUCGAAUACAGACAGAAGCUGGUUCAUGACCAGGAUGCAACAUCUUCAGUCUUUGACGUCUUCCCUCGUUUCCUUGACAUACCCGGACUGAUUGACCAGGAUUUCUCACUGAUGUUUGGGGACGAAUUGUCUGGAAAGUUUCUUGCAAAGUGGCCUUCAUAUUUCAAGCCCAAAGUCAUCAGAGAAAGCCAGUCUUCCUUUCAGUCUUCAUGUUGAGGAACUGCGGGCAGGUUGCAACCCUGAGACUGAGAAUGAUCAUGGCUGGGAUAGUGAUAUGUCAGCUCUCCUGUUGCUGUUGCAUCUUCUGCCCCCUGCAUCAAGAGGCCAUAAGAAAACUGUCAAGAUCAGCGCCGCACAGGCAGAGGACCAUCUUGGUUAGAUUUGUUAAGCAUGGAGCCAGCCUCACUACAUUCCUGGAGAAAGUUGAUGCCAGACAGCCUUUCCUCCUCGGCACUGGACAGCAAAAGAAGAAAGUCGAGAGAUUCUUCAUCGUUGUGGACAACAAACUGAUCCCAUGCAACGCCCUGACGUCGGUGGGUGCCUUUGAUGGGCUAUUCAAAGCUCAUUAUGUUUUCAGCCUCUCUUAUGAUGAAGCCCUCUUCGGUUUCUACACCUUCAUUCAAACCACAGUCUACAACAUAGAUGUUGAAAGCGCAAAGGAAACGCCACGAGUCAAGGAGCUGAGAGCACGACUGCUACGUGAGCCUUCAAUUCCCACCAUUGCACAAAGGUCAAGGAAUUGUUAAAAAAAAAAACUGUUCAGUGAUUAUGUUCACCUGUUUUGUUUGCAAAACACACCACAAAAAUUGUUCGCUUCCAUGUCAACAUUUAAAGUUCCAACACGGUUUAUACCCAGCCAAAAACCUACGUCUGAAGUGUGGAGAACAAGGAUGUCCUUCUUUUUGUACAUACAAUGGCUUCAGGAAGCAUCUUAACAAUGUACACAGUCAUCACCAUGAUGAUUUUCAUGCAUACUGUAUAGAGGAGCAGAAUAAUGACAAUUCUCUGAUUUGCAUUGACCAGCUCACCUAUUUGAAACCCUUUGACAAGCAGUAUUCUAUUGAUGGUGAGAUAUACAUUGUUCCAUAUUGCCACAUGUUUUAAGAAGCAGUGUUUAUGUGGUGAAUGUUUUAAAUAAAUGUUUUUUGAAACUGAAAA